GCGGGAGUAGUUCAGCGGUAGAACGUCUCGUUGCCAACGAGAAGAUCGCGGGUUCGAUCCCCGUCUCCCGCU
rnacentral:tRNA from 1 species